rnacentral:rRNA from 1 species
GUGGGGAAUAUUGCACAAUGGGCGAAAGCCUGAUGCAGCAACGCCGCGUGAGUGAUGAAGGUCUUCGGAUUGUAAAGCUCUGUCUUUUGGGACGAUAAUGACGGUACCAAAGGAGGAAGCCACGGCUAACUACGUGCCAGCAGCCGCGGUAAUACGUAGGUGGCGAGCGUUGUNCGGAUUUACUGGGCGUAAAGGGUGCGUAGGCGGAUGUUUAAGUGAGAUGUGAAAUACCCGGGCUUAACUUGGGUGCUGCAUUUCAAACUGGAUAUCUAGAGUGCAGGAGAGGAGAAUGGAAUUCCUAGUGUAGCGGUGAAAUGCGUAGAGAUUAG